CCGGCGAAUCUUCUUUCGUUUUCCGGCACCGAUCGCGGUGGAUCUCCGAUUUAAAUGGCGGCGGACAAUGCGUAUCUGAUGCAGUUUGUCGACGAAACCUCCUUUUACAACCGAAUCGUUUUGAGUCAUCUUUUGCCGGCGAAUCUGUGGGAACCCUUACCUCAUUUUCUCCAGACAUGGCUCCGAAAUUACCUCGCCGGAACCCUACUCUACUUCAUCUCCGGCUUCCUCUGGUGCUUCUACAUCUAUUACCUCAAAAUCAACGUUUACCUUCCCAAAGGUCUCGACUUUCAAUUAUGUUUUCACUAAUGCUUAAGAGUUUGAUAUGUUAUCGAUUUCCAAUUUAAGGAAAGGGGUUUCUUUGUGUACUGUACUGUAAUUUGGAUGUGAUGUUGGAUAAAAUUUGAUGUGGAUGGUUCAUGUUGCAUUUAUUGAUUAUUUAUGAGGUAAGCAAGCAUGAUUACAAAAUUCUCCAUCUAAGGGAUUGAUUGAACAGUCGGUUGCUGAUAUAAAUAAGUUCUUGUGCAACCAAUGAAAAGUCAUAGAUCUUUGAAGUUGAAUUUUCCACUGUAUGUAUACUUGGCAUUUAACUCAACUUAAAUUGGUAGUGAUUGUCUACGUUCAAUCUUGACUUCAUUCGAUAUUUAAAACACAUUCUUUUCUGCUUCUCUGAAACUUUGCCUGGAAAAGGAUAUAUCAUAUUUGAAAUCUUUUUUUGAUCUGUUUUGCUUCAGAUGCCAUUCCUACAAUAAAGGCUAUGCGUUUGCAAAUGUUUGUGGCAAUGAAGGCUAUGCCUUGGUAUACUCUUCUUCCAACUGUCUCCGAGAGUAUGAUUGAACGCGGUUGGACCAAAUGUUUCGCCAGCAUAGGCGAAUUCGGCUGGAUCCUCUAUUUUGUUUACAUCGCCAUCUAUCUUGUUUUCGUUGAGUUUGGUAUUUAUUGGAUGCACAGAGAGCUUCAUGACAUUAAGCCUCUCUAUAAGUAUCUCCAUGCGACCCAUCAUAUCUACAACAAGCAAAAUACACUCUCUCCAUUUGCCGGUAAGUGUUUUCAGUUUGUAAUUGUUUAGUCAUGUAAAAGAUUGGUAGCACUCAAUUUCUCACCGGAAAAGACUUUGUCAGCAGCUGCUUAUAAUCCAAAUCACAUUUUGCAUUCCUUAUCCAUAAGUAACCAGAAAGGCUAUAAUUAUAUAGAUAUCAGCUGCAUUACUGUACAUAUGUCAGAGACUUAUGCAUUAACCAUAGUUUAGUUCUUUGUUUCUCUUCUGGUCUCGGACUUGAUUGGAAACCACGAGAAGUUCUUUUUAUCUACUUGCCUGGAGUGUAUCUUGGUUAUCCAAGAAUGUUGCAUCUAAUAUGACUUCCUUACGUUUUGGUUUACAGGGCUUGCAUUUCACCCAGUUGACGGGAUACUUCAGGCUGUACCGCAUGUGAUAGCGCUGUUUAUAGUGCCAAUUCAUUUCACAACCCAUAUAGGUCUUUUGUUCAUGGAAGCGAUAUGGACAGCGAACAUCCAUGACUGCAUCCACGGCAACAUCUGGCCUGUAAUGGGUGCAGGAUACCAUACGAUACACCACACAACAUACAAGCAUAACUAUGGUCAUUAUACCAUAUGGAUGGAUUGGAUGUUCGGCUCCCUUAAGGAUCCUCUUUUAGAAGAAGAUGGCAACAAAGAUAGCUCCAAGAAAGCUGAGUGAGAAUGCCCACUUGUUUUUUUUUUUUAUAUUGCCGUCUUUUGUUCUGCUUGCUUGUUGUGGUCCUUUCUUGUUCGUUUUCUUCUUCAUGUGUCUCUCACAACCUUUCCAAUUAGUUUGUUACAAACAUUUGCUGUGUAGUUUAAAACAUGUAAAUGUUUGAUUUUUGCAAGACUCCAUUUUUGUUAAGGUAAACCUUGAAACAAAGAUUUUGACUUUUCUGUCAAUCUUGCGCCACCAGUUGUGUGGAUUUGUGGGGGCAUUGCGAAUAAUAUAUCUUCGUCAAAUAUCAAAAUUCGGCCUGGCCCAAUAUAUAGCUGGGCCAGUAGACCCGCUAUUGAUGAGUAACUUGUCCUUUUCUUGUUGAACAAGUCAACAAGCAAAACACACUCUCUCCAUUUGCCGGUAUGUCAAGCUAUGUUCUCAAUCUAACUUCAAGAAUGUUGUAUCAAUAGUGACUUCUUUACUUAAAACGUUUUUUCGGUUUUCCAGGGCUCACAUUCCAUCCGCUGGGCGGGAUACUUCAGGCUGUACCGCAUAUGAUAGAGCUGUGUAUAGUGCUGAUUCAUCUCAUAACACAUCUGAGUCUUUAGUUUUUUGGAAGGGAUAUGGACAGCAAGCAUCCGUGGUAAAAUUUGGCCUAUAAUGGUGCAGGAUACCAUACACCAUACGACAUACAAGCAUAACUAUGGUCAUUAUACCAUAUGGAUGGAUUGGAUGUUUGGCUCCCUUAGGGCUCUUUUAGCAGAAGAAGAAAGAACAGUGAGAAUAUUCCAUGCUCACAUUGUUCUCCUGACUCUUAACAUUUUCUAAUCACUUUGUUAUUCCAUGCUCACAUUGUUCUCCUGACUCUUAACCUUUUCUAAUCACUUUGUUGGAAUUAAGUAAAAAAGCAAAUCAUUUUAAUACUGUAAGUUUGUUUUAUCUGAAAAGGUUGUAGCUAUAAAUCACUCUCUCUACCACAACCAUUUUCAGUAACGCUUAAGCACAGUUUAACUUUUCUCGGCGGUUUCAUGGCGGCGACUAGUGCAGAUUAUAAUCAGUUCGUCAAUGAGACCUCUUUUUACAACCGUAUGGUUCUGAGUCACCUUUUGCCGGCGAGUCUAUGGGAACCUUUACCACAUUUCCUUCAGACAUGGCUCAGGAACUACCUCGCCGUAAACAUACUCUAAUUCACCUCCGGCUUCCUCUGGUGCUUCUACAUCUAUUACCUUAAACCCAACGUUUACGUCCCCAAAGGUGCUUUUCUUGUUUUUCUUUCAAUUUACGAUAUUCUGUUUUUUAAAAGCACGUAAAUUUAGUUAUUUCUCAACUUUGAAUCUAUUCUAACGAUUUGGCUAAUUUACAUUUUUAAGUUGAAUUUUUGAUCUCUGGAUGAGGUUUGAACUCAAAAUGUACGUUGAAAUUGAAAAAUUGUGCUUUCAAGUUCUGUUUCUUGUGGGGUUUCUUCUAUUUUGUGUUCAGAUUCUAUCCCUACAAGAAAGGCAAUGAUUCUGCAAAUAUCUGUGGCAAUGAAGGCUAUGCCUUAGCACAGUCUUCUUCCAGCUGUAUCUGAGUAUAUGAUCGAGCAUGGUUGGACCCAAUGUUACUCUACAAUUGACCAUUUCAACUGGUUCCACUGUAUCCUCUACAUAACUCUCUAUCUUGCUUUAGUUGAGUUUGGGGUUUAUUGGAUUCACAAAGAGCUUCAUGACAAUAAAUUUCUCUAUAAGCAUCUCCAUGCGACCCGUCACAUCUACAACAAGCAAAACACAAUCUCUCCAUUUGCUGGUAUGUCAAGUUAUGUUCUCAAUCUAUAUUUAAGAUUAUGCUGAGUAUCAAUAGUGACUUGUUUACUUAAAACGUUUUUUCGGUUUUCCAGGGUUCGCAUUCCAUCCGUUGGACGGGAUAAUUCAGUCUUUACCGCAUGUGAUAGCGCUGUUUAUAGUGCCGAUUCAUCUCAUAACACAUCUGUGCCUUUUGUCUUCGGAAGGGAUAUGGACAGCAAACAUCCAUGACUGCAUCCACGGCAACAUCUGGCCAGUAAUGGGUGCAGGAUACCAUACGAUACACCACACCACAUACAAGCAUAACUAUGGCCACAAAACCAUAUUGAUGGAUUGGAUGUUUGGCUCUCUUAAGGCUUCUUUAGCAGAAGAAGACAGUUUCAAGGAGAAAGCAAAGUGAGAAUGUUCAAUGCUCAGUUGCUCACAUCACAUGUCUCUUCUUCAUAUGUUGUUCUUCUCGUGACUCAUCUUAAACCUUUGUAAUCACCUUGUUGGAAAUAAAUAAAUAUAUGUUGGAAUCACUCUUAAACCUCUUUCUUGUUCAACAAGUCACCUGGGUGUGAUCAUAUCGCAUACUUGAGAGUUGAGGCUAAUGAUAGUAAAACGCAAUUUAACCCGCUUAAAGUUUAAUCGUAUUCAAAGGAUUGGCCACAUAGACUUGAAAUAAUCCAUCACAAACCCUCCAUACCAAAAAUUCCUUAAAAAAUAGCAAAUCAUUUAAAUAUUGUAAGUUUGCUUCAUUUAAAUAUUGUAAGUUUGCUUCAUUCGAAAUUUUAGCUACAGAUCUCAAAGCUCCUCCUGUUGGCUAUCUCUCUCUCUCUCUCUCUCUCUAUAAGCACAGUUUGACUUUUCUCGGCGGUUUCAUGCAUGGCGGCGACUAGUGCAGAUUAUAAUCAGUUCGUCAGUGAGACCUCUUUUUACAACCGAAUGGUUCUGAGUCACCUUUUGCCGGCGAAUCUAUGGGAACCUUUACCACAUUUCCUUCAGACAUGGCUCCGGAACUACCUCGCCGGAAACAUACUCUACUUCAUCUCCGGCUUUCUUUGGUGCUUCUACAUCUAUUACCUUAAACUCAACGUUUACGUCCCAAAAGGUUACUUUUUUCAAUUUCGAUGUUCUGUUUUUAAGCCUUCUUUUGUUUAUUCCUUCGAUUGUAUCGCCUGGUGGUUUCUGUUAUACGUUUCAAUUUGACGAACGUUACCCUCUCUUAUUUUUUUCCCUUACAGUUACUUUCAGUUCUUGUCUUCUACUUCUCAUUUAAUUAGUCUUGAAGUUUAAUAAUCCAAGCAAGUAAAUUUAGUUAUUUCUUAACUUUGAAUCUAACUUACAUUUUUUUAAGUUGAAUUUUCGAUAUCUCGAUAAAAGUUGAGCUCAAAUCUGAUUAUGUUAGAUACUUCAUGAAUCAUGAGGUACUGAACAUUUUAAUGAAAGAUUGUUGUGCUCAAUUGUGGUUAGUAGAAGUUUUAACCCAUAGGAACAUAAGUGUUUUAUUCAUGUUAAGCUAAUAUUCAGUACCUUGAAAUUGAAUAAUUGGGGUUCUUAGUUCUGAUUCUGGUGGGAUUUCAUCUAUUUUGUGUUCAGAUUCCAUUCCUACAAGAAAGGCUAUGCUUUUGCAAAUAUACAUGGCAAUGAAGGCUAUGCCUUGGUACACUCUUCUUCCAGCUGUCUCUGAGUACAUGAUCGAGC
rnacentral:lncRNA from 1 species